rnacentral:rRNA from 1 species
UGGUAAAGUUUCUAGUGGGCCAUUUUUGGUAAGCAGAACUGGCGAUGCGGGAUGAACCGAACGUCAAGUUAAAGUGUCGGAAUUGACGUUCAUUCCAGAAACCAUAAAAGGUAUUAAUUCAUUCUGACAGCAGGACGGUGGUCAUGGAAGUAGAAAUCCGCUAAGAAGUGUGUAACAACUUACCUGCCGAAUGAAUUAGUCCUGAAAAUGGAUGACGCUUAAACGUCAUACUUAUACUUGACCGAGAAAAUGAAAUUACUAUGAAAAACUAUUAUUUUCUCGAGUAGGAGAGUUUGGAGUAUCAGUAAUUACUUCUAAAUUUAAAAAAAGAAGUAAUAAAGUUAAAAAGGCACUAUUUGUAAAAUAGCUGAAACAUACUCUAGUGCAGAUCUGGUGGUAGUAGCAAACAUUCAAAAUGAGAACUUUUGAAGACUGAAGU